GGAUAACAUGCCCUUGGGUGGGGGAUAACCUCGGGAAACUGAGAAUAAUACCCCAUAGAUCUGGAAAGCUGGAAUGCUUCCAGGUUCAAAGUUCCGGCGCCCAAGGAUUGGUCUACGGCCUAUCAGGUAGUAGUGGGUGUAACGGACCCACUAGCCUAUGACGGGUAUGGGCCUUGGGAGAGGGAGCCCAGAGAUGGACUCUGAGACACGAGUCCAGGCCCUACGGGGCGCAGCAGUCGCGAAAACUUCACAAUGGGGGCAACCCCGAUGAGGGGAUUCCAAGUGCCAGCACACAGUGUUGGCUGUUCUCUUGUCUAAAAAACAAGAGGAGUAAGGGCCGGGUAAGACGGGUGCCAGCCGCCGCGGUAAUACCCGCGGCCCUAGUGGUGGUCGAUAUUAUUGAGCCUAAAACGUCCGUAGCCGGUCUCGUAAAUCCUUGGGUAAAUCGGGCAGCUCAACUGUCCGAAUUCCGAGGAGACUGCGGGACUUGGGACCGGGAGAGGUCAGAGGUACUUCUGGGGUAGGGGUAAAAUCCUGUAAUCCUGGAAGGACCACCGGUGGCGAAGGCGUCUGACUAGAACGGAUCCGACGGUGAGGGACGAAGCCCUGGGGCGCAAACGGGAUUAGAUACCCCGGUAGUCCAGGGUGUAAACGCUGCGGGCUUGGUGUUGGGGGUCCUUCGUGGGCGCCCAGUGCCGGAGAGAAGUUGUUAAGCCUGCUGCUUGGGGAGUACGUCCGCAAGGAUGAAACUUAA
rnacentral:rRNA from 1 species